rnacentral:rRNA from 1 species
UAGUCAUAUGCUUGUUACAAAGAUUAAGCCAUGCAUGUCUAAGUAUAAAAGUAUUCUAUACUUGAAACUGCGAAUAGCUCAUUAAACCAGUUAUAGUUUAUUUGAUGGUGCCUUACUACAUGGAUAACCGUAGUAAUUCUAGAGCUAAUACAUGCCAAGAAGACCUGUCCUUGCGGGCAGGUUGUAUUUAUUAGAUAUAAGGCCAAUACUCGCAAGAGUUUUCGUGGUGAUUCAUAAUAACUGUUCGAAUCGCGGGGCAACCUGCGAUAGAUCAUUCA